CCCUUCGUAGGUGAACCUGCGGAAGGAUCAUUA
rnacentral:rRNA from 1 species